rnacentral:rRNA from 1 species
UACGAAGGGGGCUAGCGUUGCUCGGAAUCACUGGGCGUAAAGGGUGCGUAGGCGGGUUUUUAAGUCAGGGGUGAAAUCCUGGAGCUCAACUCCAGAACUGCCUUUGAUACUGAAAAUCUUGAGUCCGGGAGAGGUGAGUGGAACUGCGAGUGUAGAGGUGAAAUUCGUAGAUAUUCGCAAGAACACCAGUGGCGAAGGCGGGUCUCUGGACAGUUCCUGACACUGAGGCACGAAGGCCAGGGGAGCAAACGGG